UAAGUAGUCCCUCCGUUCGGAAUUACUUGUCGUAGAAAUGGAUGUAUCUAGAGUCUAGAUACAUCCAUUUCUACGACAAGUAAUUCCGAACGGAGGGAGAAGGUC
rnacentral:pre_miRNA from 1 species